AUGACGUCAAGUCAGCAUGGCCUUUAUACCCUGGGCUACACACACGCUACAAUGGAUGGUACAAUGGGUUGCCACCGGGCGACCGGGAGCUAAUCCCAAAACCAUCCUCAGUUCGGAUCGCAGGCUGAAACCCGCCUGCGUGAAGUCGGAGUUGCUAGUAAACGCGUGUCAGCAUACCGCGGUGAAUACGUUCUCGGGCCUU
rnacentral:rRNA from 1 species